rnacentral:rRNA from 1 species
ACGGCUACCACAUCUAAGGAAGGCAGCAGGCGCGCAAAUUACCCAAUCCUGACUCAGGGAGGUGGUGACAAGAAAUAGCAACACAGGGCAUUCGCUUUGUGAUUGAAAUGAGUGAAACGCAAAACCGUUUGCGAGUAUCAAUUGGAGGGCAAGUCUGGUGCCAGCAGCCGCGGUAAUUCCAGCUCCAAUAGCGUAUAUUAAAGUUGCUGCAGUUAAAAAGCUCGUAGUUGGAUUUCUGCCGAAAGUAGCUGUUCCGCUUCUGCGUGCAACAUGCUUACUAAGGCAUCCUUCCACCUGAGGCUUCGGCCGAUUGUGGAUAGUUUACUUUGAGAAAAUUAGAGUGUUUAAAGCAGGCGUUGGCCUGAAUACUACAGCAUGGAAUAAUGAGAUAGGACUUCGGUCCUUUCUUGUUGGUUCUUAGAACCUGGAGUAAUGGUUAAUAGGAACGGUCGGGGGCGUUUGUAUUUAGCGGCUAGAGGUGAAAUUCUUUGAUUCGCUAAAGACAAACUACUGCGAAAGCAUUCGCCAAGGACGUUUCCAUUAAUCAAGAACGAAAGUUAGG